CCUACGGGAGGCAGCAGUGAGGAAUAUUGGUCAAUGGGCGAGAGCCUGAACCAGCCAAGUCGCGUGAGGGAAGACGGUCCUAUGGAUUGUAAACCUCUUUUGCCGGGGAGCAAAAAGCGGUACGUGUACCGCAUCGAGAGUACCCGGAGAAAAAGCAUCGGCUAACUCCGUGCCAGUAGCCGCGGUAAUACGGAGGAUGCGAGCGUUAUCCGGAUUUAUUGGGUUUAAAGGGUGCGCAGGCGGCGAGUUAAGUCAGCGGUAAAAUUUCGGGGCUCAACCCCGACAAGCCGUUGAAACUGGCUUGCUUGAGUGGGCGAGAAGUAUGCGGAAUGCGUGGUGUAGCGGUGAAAUGCAUAGAUAUCACGCAGAACUCCGAUUGCGAAGGCAGCAUACCGGCGCCCAACUGACGCUCAGGCACGAAAGCGUGGGUAUCGAACAGGAUUAGAUACCCGGGUAGUC
rnacentral:rRNA from 1 species